GGCUGGUCCAAUGGUAGUUAUCUCAGUUGAUCGCUCACAGUCAGUUACAGGUCAAAUUCCUUGUUUUUCUCUUUUCCCCCCCUCACUACUGCACUUGACUACUCUAAA
rnacentral:Y_RNA from 1 species